UACGGAGGGGGCUAGCGUUGCUCGGAAUCACUGGGCGUAAAGGGUGCGUAGGCGGGUCUUUAAGUCAGGGGUGAAAUCCUGGAGCUCAACUCCAGAACUGCCUUUGAUACUGAGGAUCUUGAGUUCGGGAGAGGUGAGUGGAACUGCGAGUGUAGAGGUGAAAUUCGUAGAUAUUCGCAAGAACACCAGUGGCGAAGGCGGACUCACUGGCCCGAUACUGACGCUGAGGCACGAAAGCGUGG
rnacentral:rRNA from 1 species